ACGGAGGGUGCAAGCGUUAUCCGGAAUCAUUGGGUUUAAAGGGUCCGCAGGCGGAUUUAUAAGUCAGUGGUGAAAUCCUAUCGCUUAACGAUAGAACUGCCAUUGAUACUGUAAGUCUUGAAUUCGGUCGGAGUGGGCGGAAUGUGUAGUGUAGCGGUGAAAUGCAUAGAUAUUACACAGAACACCGAUAGCGAAGGCAGCUCACUAGGCCUGAAUUGACGCUCAGGGACGAAAGCGUGGGGAUCAAACAGG
rnacentral:rRNA from 1 species